UUAGGAAUCUUCCGCAAUGGACGGAAGUCUGACGGAGCGACGCCGCUUGGAGGAGGAAGCCCUUCGGGGUGUAAACUCCUGAACUGGGGACGAAAGCCCUGUGUAGGGGGAUGGCGGUACCCAGGUAAUAGCGCCGGCCAACUCCGUGCCAGCAGCCGCGGUAAUACGGAGGGCGCGAGCGUUACCCGGAUUUACUGGGCGUAAAGGGCGUGUAGGCGGCCUGGGGCGUCCCAUGUGAAAGGCCACGGCUCAACCGUGGAGGAGCGUGGGAUACGCUCAGGCUAGAGGGUGGGAGAGGGUGGUGGAAUUCCCGGAGUAGCGGUGAAAUGCGCAGAUACCGGGAGGAACGCCGAUGGCGGAGGCAGCCACCUGGUCCACUUCUGACGCUGAGGCGCGAAAGCGUGGGGAGCAAACCGGAUUAGAUACCCGGGUAGUCCACGCCCUAAACGAUGCGCGCUAGGCCUCUGGGUUUAUCUGGGGGCCGAAGCCAACGCGUUAAGCGCGCCGCCUGGGGAGUACGGCCGCAAGGCUGAAACUCAAAUGAAUUGACGGGGUCAUAGCUGUUUCCUG
rnacentral:rRNA from 1 species